rnacentral:piRNA from 1 species
UNGAUGCUCAGUUAAUGUUUAUUGAGUGGU